rnacentral:ncRNA from 1 species
GUUCCUAGGGGUGCUUAUGCAGCUGAGAAACGCUUUUUCGCGUGACCCUUUGAACCUGAACCAGGUAAUGCUGGCGCAGGGAAGGAAA